rnacentral:rRNA from 1 species
GAUGAACGCUAGCGGCAGGCUUAAUACAUGCAAGUCGAGGGGGCAGCAAUGUCACCGGCGAACGGGUGCAUAACGCGUAUGCAACCUACCUACAUCAGGGGGAUAGCCCUAGGAAACUGGGGUUAACACCGCAUAAUAUAAGCUACGGCACCGCAGGUUAUUGAAAUAUCUAUAGGAUGUAGAUGGGCAUGCGUAGGAUUAGCUAGUUGGUAAGGUAACGGCUUACCAAGGCUACGAUCCUUAGGGGCUCUGAGAGGAGUAUCCCCCACACUGGCACUGAGAUACGGGCCAGACUCCUACGGGAGGCAGCAGUAGGGAAUAUUGGGCAAUGGAGGCAACUCUGACCCAGCCAUGCCGCGUGCAGGAAGACGGUCCUCUGGAUUGUAAACUGCUUUUGAAUGGGAAGAAUGUGCUUCUUGCGAGGAGUAAUGACGGUACCAUUAGAAUAAGCCACGGCUAACUACGUGCCAGCCGCCGCAGUAA